AGGGAAUCUUCCACAAUGGACACAAGUCUGAUGGAGCAACGCCGCGUGAGUGAAGAAGGGUUUCGGCUCGUAAAGCUCUGUUGGUAGUGAAGAAAGAUAGAGGUAGUAACUGGCCUUUAUUUGACGGUAAUUACUUAGAAAGUCACGGCUAACUACGUGCCAGCAGCCGCGGUAAUACGUAGGUGGCAAGCGUUGUCCGGAUUUAUUGGGCGUAAAGCGAGUGCAGGCGGUUCAAUAAGUCUGAUGUGAAAGCCUUCGGCUCAACCGGAGAAUUGCAUCAGAAACUGUUGAACUUGAGUGCAGAAGAGGAGAGUGGAACUCCAUGUGUAGCGGUGGAAUGCGUAGAUAUAUGGAAGAACACCAGUGGCGAAGGCGGCUCUCUGGUCUGCAACUGACGCUGAGGCUCGAAAGCAUGGGUAGCGAACAGGAUUAGAUACCCUGGUAGUCCAUGCCGUAAACGAUGAGUGCUAAGUGUUGGGAGGUUUCCGCCUCUCAGUGCUGCAGCUAACGCAUUAAGCACUCCGCCUGGGGAGUACGACCGCAAGGUUGAAACUCAAAGGAAUUGACGGGGGCCCGCACAAGCGGUGGAGCAUGUGGUUUAAUUCGAAGCAACGCGAAGAACCUUACCAGGUCUUGACAUCCAGUGCAAACCUAAGAGAUUAGGAGUUCCCUUCGGGGACGCUGAGACAGGUGGUGCAUGGCUGUCGUCAGCUCGUGUCGUGAGAUGUUGGGUUAAGUCCCGCAACGAGCGCAACCCUUGUCAUUAGUUGCCAUCAUUAAGUUGGGCACUCUAAUGAGACUGCCGGUGACAAACCGGAGGAAGGUGGGGAUGACGUCAAGUCAUCAUGCCCCUUAUGACCUGGGCUACACACGUGCUACAAUGGACGGUACAACGAGAAGCGAACCUGCGAAGGCAAGCGGAUCUCUGAAAGCCGUUCUCAGUUCGGACUGUAGGCUGCAACUCGCCUACACGAAGCUGGAAUCGCUAGUAAUCGCGGAUCAGCACGCCGCGGUGAAUACGUUCCCGGGCCU
rnacentral:rRNA from 1 species